ensembl:lncRNA
ACUCAGCACCCGCCCCCACCUCUCGGGGUUCUGGGGAGAUGCGGUGAGACACGGGGAGUCUGCAGCUAAUUGAAGGAUUUGUGUGUGAUCUCAGAUGAGGAAACUGAGGCUGCGCAAAGCUCAGGGUUUCUGUUCAAGGUCACAUCCCAGGAGGUGGGAAGGAUUAACGUCUUCCUGGCCCAGCCUUCCCCUUUGGGCCCUGCCUGCUGCCCUGCCACUAGCGCUCAGCCUUUCCCGGAGGAGGGGGGUGAUGUGAACGAACCACUAUGGCCCAGAGCGCCGGAGCACGGCCCAGCGGCCCUGCAGGCGGUGAGGGCCCAGAAAGCGGGACCCACCUAUCACCUCCCACAGCGACCUCUCCCAGUGGUCAAGGUGUUCUCAGCGGAGCUUAGAAGUCAGCCAGCAGGUCGAAAAAUAAGGCUGACGGGGGAGCAUCAGAGAGAGUCGGGAGAGACGGUCUCUGGAGGCUCUGGAGCUGGGACGCCGUGGGGCUGGCCUGUUCCUGCCCUUACCCUGCAGGCCGUGGCACUCUGGGGUCCCCUCUAGACCUCAGCCCCUCAUCUGGUCAAUGGGGGUACCGCCAUUCCCUCUCUCGUGGGCAUUCUGGGCCCACGGCACCCCCUCACACCAGCCCACCUCAGCACAAGAGAGUGAAGGACCUCCCCUGAGCCCCGCAAAGCACCUGACCGUGCAUGUCCCAGAAGCCUCCCAAAGCAGGCAGGCCUGCAGGCCCAGGGCUGGUUAGGACUGCCCCUGGAAUCACAGUGAACUGGUACAAGAGCAAAAGCCAGAUCACCUCUGAUUCCUGUGUCCGAUGU